ensembl:lncRNA
CAGCUUGCUCACCAUGGCUCAGGACCUUCCCCAGCUGCACCAUGCAAACAGGCUGGCCCUCCUCUGCAAAGCACACAACACAAGUCCCCAAGUACACGCCAGCUCUGUCUGACAACGAUCUGCACACACACUCACUGUUUCCACUCUGUCUCUGAAAGACUCCAAGGCAGAGGGUCAGGUUCAUCUCCAAAUGGACUAGAGGAGAUGGGAUGCAGUGACAGAUGAGGAGGUGGCCAAGAAAAAGACUCCAGCCAACACAGGUGCUGUUAUUCCCACAGAGAAGAGUGAGACUCAUGCCCAUGAGGGAAGGGAGCACGGGCUACUCUCUAGCUGUGGUGCAUGGGCUUCUCACCGCAGUGGCUUCUCACCUGUGCCCAGCAGUGGCAGCUCCCUGGCUCUGGGCACAGGCUUAGUAGUUGAGGAACACAGACUCAGUUGCUCUGCAGCUUGUGGAACGUUCCUGGACCAGAGAUGGAUCUCAUGUCUCCUGCACCGGCAGAUAGAUUCUUUACCACUGAGCCACGAGGUAAGCCCAGAAAACUAACUCUGAUAUUGUCUGGAUAAUAUCGUGGCCAGAGGACCAGAGAACAAGCUGAGCUCGAAAGGCCUCAGAAGGCAGAAACAGAAAGCAUCAGACCCUUAUCGCCCUUCCACCCAUGUCGCAACCGUUGCAAUUUUUGCGCCAUCCUGGGGAGCAUGGCUCGUCCCUUUGCUAACCCCAUAUUAGGAAGGGUAUUUGUCCUGUUCUUCUCCCCCGAAAAGGAAAGCAUACAUAUGGUACCUAAUUAGUAGAUGACAGCAAGAUCCCUUCCCUUCCUUGUUCCCUGGCUAGAAAAGACAGGCAGAUGACACGUGUUCGUUGUCAUUUCUUCCCUGACCCUGCCUGCUUUGUCUAUCAGACACACUCUAUUUAAUGAGUGCACUCUAAUAAACUGUAUUCACCUCUCAUUCUGCCUUUCCAGAAAUUCUUUUCUAGCCUGCACACAGACCACCACAGGUGAAAACAAAGAAAAAAGUAUGAUAUCCUCCCCCAGGACAAACUUUAAAAAUCUUCUCCUUUCUGGUCCCUCAUGACUGGGGUGAGACUCGAUCUGUUCGACAGUCAUAGAGAACAAGGCCCAGCCCCUCAUUUCACCCAGAAAUAAAGCUGAGGCAAGAGCAGCUAAGGGACUUACCUGAGGUCGCACAGCCACACAGCAGCAGAGCUGGGCCUGGGCUCUAGAUGUCCUGCUCACAGGCGACUUCUUUCCCACUCAGGACUGACUUGUAAUUAUUUCUGGAAACAAUGCGGCGCUAAACUAGUCCAAAUACGCUAAGGGUAACAGCUAACUCCCUGAGAGACAAUUACACAGCCUCAGUCUGUUUCCCGACUUAAGAAUACACGACGCUCCUCCUGACAGGAAGCUCCCCGCACCACAUGGUAGCGGCUUUUCCCUCAAACUAAACCCGCAAAACAAGGAAAGCAGCCCGAGGGAAAACCUUGGAGCCCUCCGGGGAACUUUCAAGCCCUUGACAGAAUCUUCGAGGCCGCCAGAGAACUUUUGAGGCCUCGCGAGAACCUUCUAACCCUCGCGAUAACCUUCGGGCCCUCUGCCGCGCAGCCCUCCACGGAAGGACUGCGCAGGCGCAGGCGCAAACACUGCCAGCCACGUGGACUCCUGCGCGGUGCAGAUGAUCCGAAUAGCACUGACCAAGCGCUGCAGCACCGCGCUGGAGGUAUCGGCGUGGUGGCUAAAUCGCUGCCCCAGAGCAGCUCUAGGCCCUUUCGACACGUGGUGCAGUGGAAACAAGAGUCGUCGUUGUUGUGCUUGUCGAGCUCCUCCAGGAACUUGUCCUGCUGGGCAGAGGCAGAGCCUAACUUGCGAGAGUAGGUGGAAAGGGCCGGCGAUGUUCCUACCAGAGGACAAAGGGCGCAUCCAAAGGAACUGGCAAACUACAAGCCUUGGAACAAACCCCGCCUACCACCUGUCGUUUUGUUUGGCAGGGCACCUGCACAAAGAAUGGCUUUUACCUUAUUUUUUAAUAGUUGGGAAAAAGUCAAAAGAAUAUUUUUUCAUGGCAUGUGAAAGUCGUUUGAAAUAAAGAUUUCAGUGUCCAUUAACAAAGUUUAAUUGGCAUUGUAAAUAUGUAUUGCUAGUGAGCUUUUUUUGCACUGUAAUGGCUGAGUCCAGUGGUUGUGAGAUGGUUUCUGGAACUCAUGGCUUCCUGCUGCCCCUUGGUGCGUUGCAAACCACAGUCAGGUG